GUUUCUUGGGUUUUCUUCUCUUCUUUUACCUGAAUUUGAGAGAGUGAUUACCUUGUAUUUUCCAAUUUUGAUCCUGUUUUUCCAAGAAAAAUUCCACCUUUUGAUUGAUUAAUGGCGAAUUCAAGGUCGUUGGGGAGUUCAAGGAUGCAGAGUUGGGCCUGUGCCGGAAGUGCAAGGAAUCAGCUGUGGAUUUUAAGCGCAAAGUUCUUUUAGAGGAGUCUUUAAGAGAUUGCGAUAGGGCAAUUGCUACCGUGUCUUCUUAUAUGAAGGCUCAAAGUUCUGUAUUCCAUGGAGAAUUUCUAGUUCAUGAGGUACAUAUUUCAGAUUGUUUGUUUAAUCUUUACAAUGUUAUCAAUAGUACAUGUUAUGCUAAUGAAAUCUGUGUAAUUACCAUUCACUCUAAAA